AGCCACUUGAGAAAUCCUGGCUACACGAUUCGGAACAGCCUUCUACCUCUGAGAACUCAAUGUUUAGUAACUUGAUUCAGGCAUCAGGUUACUGACUUGGCCUUUGGAAUUUUCCUUUUCCUUCCAGGCUUAAAUUAAAAUGGAGCAGGCAAAGUGACCUUGCUGCCUGUUGCCUCUGCAGGAAUUCUCCUGUGGAUUUCCCCUCCACACUCGCCUCCAAUCUCUCUUCCCUGCCUUUCCUGACUUUAUCCCAGACCUUGGAAGUCUUUCCUGACUUUAUCUCAGACCUUGGAUUGGCCUUGGAUUUGUUUUCCUGUAGCUGUUGACUUGAUGCCCUCCAGCACAAUCAACAACAUCAUUUUUCUCCAUCAAAUGUGGCCUGUGUGUGCAAUCCUUGAUGCUGUGAUAUCAGAUGUCCUACCCCUUACUAUUUGUGAGGCACAGGGAUAGAGAACAAAUGGAGGCUUUCUAUCAUCUGUUUAAAUACCAAAAAAAGCUAUAUAUUAUUAAAAUAUGGCUUGCAGUCCUACAUGAACAAAUUUGACUGCACAACAACCUAGAAGAUCCAGUUUGACUCUUUUUUUUUCUUGGCAUAGACAGAGGGAAGUAGAUACACAUUCAAGGUCAAGUUUUAAUUUAGAAUUCUCAGACUGCAGAAUUCCGCACCAGAAUGUGGCAGUACUGUGCUCAGCCGUUAGCUCCACACAACCCCCCUCUCUUCCCACCUUCAUUCUAUCUCACAGACCAGGGACCUUAUGCACAUACUUGUGGACAUCUUGAGCUUUGCAUCCAAAUUUCACCUGCAUCUGACCCUCCAAUACACACACACACACAAAGAGCCUCUGGGCUAGGCAUGAGCACACUAGUAUGUGGUCCACCCUCCAUGAUGAUAAACCCAGAGAAGAAAAAGGCCUGUGCAGGCCCUGGCAACACAGGUUACUUGUGCUAUUGGGGCAGGAAUCCUAUGUACCUGGAUCCUGGUUUAGAAGAGAAAGCAUGUGGGUUUAAGACUGCCCCUACAGUCUUCUCACCUCAUGGGGAAGGGUACAGGUGGAAGAACUCUAAAGCAGGGCUCAACAAAUUAUGGCCUAUGUGUCCAACCCAGACCACUGCCUGUUUUCAGGAGUAAAAUUUUAUUGGGACACAGCCAUGCCCAACUUCUUUACCUAUUGUCUGUGGCUGUCUCCUCUCUAUAAUGGCAGACUGAGAAACUAAGACAGAGAUGGUGAGGACUGAAAAGCCUAGAAUAUCUCCUAUCUGGCCUUUCACAGAGUUUUCCAAGCCUUCCUCUAAAGCAUGGUGACAGCAGGGACCCAUCGAGCUGUUUCAGGGGGUGGUCACUUAAUUUCAGGAUUAGCUGUUUUCCUCCAUUCUCCCACUUCUCUCCCCUCACAGUGUGGACCUGGCUGGAAGGAAUGCCAGGUCUGCCCCUUGGAAACUCUCCAGAGUAGUACAAUACAUGGUUCUGAGGACACCGGGUAGGCCACCACUAUCUGUCCAGUUGUAGGACAACGACAAUUAACUAUGUAUGAUCACAACCAUGUGAUCAUAGUCGGGCUGUCCCCACUAUCUCCAGCAACAAAGGGUUAAAGCCCGAAGCCCUCGUUUCUCAAUGUCAUCCACUAUUCUUCCCAUCAGCACCCGCUUGCUUCACUAUCGUUCUGUCACCACUCCAUUAAAAAAAAAAUGCUAUCAGAGUCAUCACUUGGAUUCAACGUGUGUCUUCCGUUAGCUGCUAGCAACAUUUCAC
rnacentral:lncRNA from 1 species